GCUGGCGGCGUGCUUAACACAUGCAAGUGGAGCGACGAACCAGGGCUUGCCCUGGGGCAGAGCCGCGAACGGGUGAGUAACACGUGGGUAACCUACCCCGAUGAUUGGGACAACCCGAGGAAACUCGGGCUAAUACCAAAUGUGCUCUUCGGCCAUGAGACCGACGAGUAAAGAUAGCUUCGGCCUUCGCAUCGGGAUGGGCCCGCGGCCCAUUAGCUUGUUGGUGAGGUAACGGCUCACCAAGGCGACGAUGGGUAGCUGGUCUGAGAGGACGAUCAGCCACACUGGGACUGAGACACGGCCCAGACUCCUACGGGAGGCAGCAGUGGGGAAUCUUGCACAAUGCGCGAAAGCGUGAUGCAGCAACGCCGCGUGGGGGAAGAAGGCCUUCGGGUUGUAAACCCCUUUCAGUUGGGACGAAGCUUCAGCGGUGAAUAGCCGCUUGGAGUGACGGUACCUUCACAAGAAGCCCCGGCUAACUACGUGCCAGCAGCCGCGGUAAUACGUAGGGGGCUAGCGUUGUCCGGAAUCAUUGGGCGUAAAGAGCGUGUA
rnacentral:rRNA from 1 species